rnacentral:misc_RNA from 1 species
GGAAUAAUCUCGUGACCUCUCGUAGGUCGGCAAAGCAACAUGGCGUUUGCAGACGACGCAUGGAGAUAUGUUCGCGACCUCGCUGAAAGUGAACUGCAGUUGAUAUACUAUGUGUCAUAUAUGUUCCUGGUGUGGGGAGUACUUGUUGCAGUGUCCUUACAGAUUGUCAGUGCUCCGUAUGGCCGCUAUUCUCGGAAAGGUUGGGGAGUCGGUUUGAAGGCGAAUGUUGCCUGGGUGAUCCAAGAACUGCCCUCCUUCGCUGUGCCGUUACUGCUCCUCGCAUUUUCAGACUCUCCCAAGUUUCAUAAUCUGCCAAAUAAAAUAAUCCUCGGCAUGUUUCUCAUUCAUUAUUUUCAAAGAACUUUUGUUUUUUCAAUACUGAUAAAAGGAGGCAAAGCUACACCUCUGGUGCCAUUCCUUAUGGCAUGUGUGUUCUGUGCAACCAAUGGGUAUAUCCAGGGUCGUUACCUGCUCAAGUAUGCUGACUUCAGUACUGACUGGGAGAGGAAACCUACUUUCCUUCUAGGCAUUGCAAUGUUUUUCUCAGGGAUGUUUAUCAAUAUCCAGUCUGACUCAAUACUGAGGAACCUCCGUCAGCCUGGAGAAACCUGCUACAAGAUACCCAGAGGAGGGAUGUUUGAAUAUGUUUCUGGUGCCAACUUCCUGGGCGAGAUUCUGGAAUGGUGGGGCUUUGCUAUAGCCAGUUGUACCCUCCCAGCAUUGGGCUUUGCUGUAUUCACCACAUGUAAUAUCGGCCCACGUGCCUGCCAACACCAUCAGUGGUACAGACAGAAGUUUGAAGAUUAUCCCAAGACUAGAAAAGCUGUUUUCCCCUUCAUUCUAUAACUUGUAUUUCUGAGGAAUACCUGUAUGUGCCAACAGACAUCUUGUAUCUGACUGACUCCACACUGGCUGUUCACAUAUACAUUUUGUUGCUUACAAUGUGAAAAAAAUGAUCUGGGCUUUUGAAGUAAUUAUUUACUGAUGACUUGAAGAAUUUAAAGUAGCCUGUGUACCCACUUUUAGUUUGUUCCUAGAGAAUCUGUGUCGGGUAGUAAUCUCACAGUUUCGGGCACUCACUAUUACAUACAUGAUACAGUGUCCUCCCAUCAGAGAGUUAUCCUCUCUGUCAGACAACAAACUGUAUGACUGGCUGCACAGGUAAUCCUCUAACUGGCUGCACAGGUAAUCCUCUAACUGGCUGCACAGGUAAUCCUCUAACUGGCUGCACAGGUAAUCCUCUAACUGGCCCCUGCAUUAAUAUGGUUUGGUCCAACAGUCAGUGACAGAAAAACAAAGACUUCAUUUCUUCUCAUAUUAUUCUGCAUCCUAUAGGGAAACUUGCACAUUUUACUAUCAGAAAGGACAAAAUAUAAUAUGUGUUUAAUAAUACAUUCCAGAACAUGAGCUAGUAGUCUGUCAUGGAUAAACUCAAAGUGUACAUAUCAUUGGUUGUAAUUACAUUUAAGGAAAUGUUAAUUUAAUAUGUAUUGAUGAUGUAAGUGUAAUCAAAUCUAUACACAUAGCAGCAUGUAAAUAUUUUCUUCAUGUUAAAUUAUCCUUACCAAACCAUGUUUUUGUGGUCAUUAUCUGUUGGCAUUUAUGGAAAAAUGCAAAGUUUGAGGCAUUAAAAAUAUGCAUUUUAAUAAGCAUGGCAUUCUUUUAUAUUUGAACAUUCUAAAACAAGCUCAUAUUCAUCAAAUAAACCUUUGUUUAGAUGUUAGUUACAUGAAAGUUGUGCAACAAUUAAGACGUUUUGAGUUUCGUUAUCUUGAUUUAAAGGUCACACAAACAUUGAAAUGGGGCAUUGUUGUAAAGAGCCAACAGAACAUUAUUUGACAAAUAUUGAAUACUGUUGUGAAAGCAGAAACAUGUACAUUACUAGAUAGUAAUAUAAAUUACCACCAGUACAUAAACUGACUAGGUUUAUGUCAUCUAAUGUUGAUUUUAUUGGUAACUUGUAGAUGUACAUUAUCAUUGAAGUGGAAAGGAAUUGAGCUUGGAUAGGUAUUGUGCAUUACUGAGUUGAGAAGUUUAUUCCUAAGCAGUCUAAUAUUUCCACCAAGUCCAGUUUGGGACAGUUCAUAAAGAAAUGGGUGUAGACCUGAUUAAUCCAUUUGCCAUUGACUAAUGGGACACUAACCUAAUGGGUGAAGCCCAGGGAAUUGGUCACUGUACUAUAACAUGAAUUUGUCGGAGGUGUCACAAUAAACACUACAGAUUUAAACUGUUCUUAUGAUUGUUGCCACAUAGUCUUUAUUUUUCUCCAUCAUGGUGGUAGUCAUCAAGAAGUAAUGAUUUGUUUAAUGUACAGUUACAGGUUGCAAAACUCAGAUUUAAGUUUACUCAGAUGUUUUGAGUAGACAAAAUAGUUUAAGGGACCAGUAUUGCACAAUAGAACCCCUGGGUCAGUGGGAACCAAGUGAGGAGUCUUUUGGGAAGGCUUGUUUCAAAACUGACAUUUCAUAGUAAGAUAUAAUGUGCUUUUGCAUUGUGGCGUAUCACAAAGGGUCAUAGAAAACAUGUACUAGGACAUAGUGAGGGUCAGCCAAAAAUAUAACAAGCAUUAAUGUCAUUAUUUUCACUCCAUCAGUGCUUUUACAUCAUCUGCCCCCACCUGGAGUACUGGAUGACCUGGAUGGCAACUGUCAUGGAGCAGCUGUAGCUGCAUACCAGUAAUACUGCACAAUGUGGACCAUAACGUAUCUGUGAUUGCUGUGGGUGGUUUUGGUUUCAUUUCAUUUUCUUUGAAUAAACUCUAGUCCUAA